CCAGCCACCCGAGGCCCUCGGGUCCCGGAGGACUAAGAAGCGGCGUCACGCACCGGGGAGGGGCCAGAGCUGCCCGAGGGGCGGAGGCGUCGGGUUGACCCCUGCCCCCAUGCUGUGUGAUCCCGCGUCAGCCAUCAACCUCUCUGGGCCUCAGCUGCCUCCUCUGUACGAUGAGAAGGGCCGCCCGAUGGCCUCCGCAGCCCCUUCCAGGCCCGCCUCGAUGACCCCUAGAUGGCAGGAGCCGGGCCCGGGGCGGGUCUGGAGCUGGAGUUGCAGCUGGUGCAGAGUCAGUGUGUCUAGAGGGACCCUCCUCCGCCUCGGGGACAAGGUCUGGCUGGUCGGAACUCCGGCCUCGCCUCAGCGGGGAGAGCCUCGGGCCCGGAGGGCGUGAACUGCUGCGGUCACUUUCCCCUGGGGCCCCCCCUAUUUCCCCAGAAGAGAUUUGAGAAUAUACCUCUCCCUACUUCUUUGCAGAACUGGAUGGGAUAAGAACCCCAGGUAUGAAAUAUAUUGACUAUAUUGUCAGAUUUUAUGAUGCAGUGAUUGAUUAUGCUUAUUUUUUUCCUCUUCCUCUUUUUCUUUUUUAGAAAAAUUCUUUAUUAUAAGGGAUGACUCUCUGGGACAGAAAGGUACAGUGAUAUGAGGAAAAUUUAAGUGAUAUAAAAGCAAAAGAUAAAAUUAAUUUUUAAAAGUAUAUGUUGGAUAGGAUUUAUCACU